GGCCGCCAUGUUGAAGCUCGGGAGCUGCUGCGGGCUGAGGCUUCGGGGGCUCGUGGAGCUGAGAGGCGGCGUGGUGAGAAUGGUGAGGCAGAGGACGUGGGGGUUGAUAGCCUCGAGCACUGGCUGGGACUGGAUGAAGACUCCGCUGGGGAUGGACAGGGCUGUCGGGCCGGAGAUGGCCUCGCGAGUCGGCGUGAGCCUCCACCAGCCGGGCUUGCACAGGGCCUCAUGCCUUUCCCUCAGCUUUUUUUACCGGGAGACCCAGGGAGCCGCUUCACUUCCGGGCAUGGAAGACCCCUUAGACCGCGUAGCGGGACAGUCUGGGCGGAAGGGGUCUUUGUUGUGCUACGGGACGACGGGCCUCGCGCCUCUGAGAAGAGACGCCCUCUUGCACCCGACGAUUGGAGCAAAACCUAGAUUGAUUUUUUUUUUGUCGUCUUGCCAAUUUUUCCCCUCAUUUCCCCCAUGCCCUUUUCCUCAGAUGUGACCACCCCCACCACAUACACACACACACACACACACACACACACACACACACACACACACACACCGAAUCGUCAUCCCGUAAUGAUUUUCAAAGGGCUUUAGAGAAGUCGUUGGUAGAUAACUGAGCGCGAAGGAUCGUAUUUUUGGCCCUAAUGAGAAGAAAGGAGCUACCAAAAGAAGUUAGCGUCAAAUCUUUCUUAACCCACCCGCGAAAGUGAGCAGUCUUACUCAGGACUAAUGCUGAGUGAAAUAUGCUAAAAUACGUAGGCUAUUCGGUGUUGGUAACCAUGGAUACCUAUCUUGCCUUUUUUUUUGUUUGCUUAUACUAACAAAAUUAUGCAAAAUAAUGUAUUUCGUUGUGACGUACUCACACAGAUAACGUUAGUUAGCGUGUUAACCAUCCCCUUCCCUUGCCCACUUGGUACCCACCGUGUAUUCAGUGUCUGGCGUAUUCCAAACAUAAGAUUACUUCAAGAACUUUUGAAGCCUUUUGCUCAGCAUCCCAAAUUAUCUGUUUUUCCAGUUGCAUAACUAAAGCAGUACUGUGUGCUUGUUUUUCAGAUUCUGAAGUUGACUGUGGAAAGAUGACAAAUUUACUUCGUAUAUACAGAGAGUCUCUAAAAAGUUAAAAAUGCAGAUAAGCAUAAUUUGUGUUGCUUGUUCUCCCUCUCUUUCGCUUUUACUUUGAAAACCGGGUUUUGUGCAGGAGACGUAACUCAGUGAUGAGAACUCACCUAGCAUACUCAAGGCCCUGGAUUGGAUCCCCAGGUUUGUUUACAUCAGUGAAAGUACACACUAUGCCUCUGUUAGAAGUUAAUAAAAAUUCAGCUGGUCAAUAGAUCUUCCUUUCAAAAGACCAAGCAGACUGGUUUUUAAAUGGACAAAACACAAUAGGAGUCAAAGGCAUCUGCAAAUGGUGGCCAUUAAAAACAGUUUGCAAAGAUCCAGCUUACGUUCUGUUGUGAGAAGAAGCCAGGGGCGUGGCAAAAGCCAUUGUUCCACAAGUUCAACAAGGUAAAAACCUCAAACACUGCUGGUCUGCCCAUAAUGGUGGUAAGUACUAGAAAGGAAACAGUGUUUACCAUUUUUUCUGCCCCUAGAUUCAACUGUAGGGUUUAGGCAAAUGAAUCUUUGUUUUAAAAGACAUUUAUAUGAGCGAUAUAAUCUUAGUUCGGGUUACUGUUGAAGACUGAUUUAUUGAAGAAAAAUCACAGAUUGUUUGGAAAUACUGUGAAAAUGGAACCAGUAUAUAAUGUAGUGGCUUCUAUAAUUUGUCAUGUCAUUGAGUGCUUUGAAGUGUUUUAGCUUUAUAGAUAAUGGAUAUUUAACCAUAAAUGUGGGGGGGGGGGAAGAAAAACGGUGUAUUUUAGAAAGACUCUACAAGUUAAGUCUUAACAGUCACGGGAAAAAAAAAUUCUAUAUUCUUUAGAAACUUAAGAAAAACAUUUUACCGGGAAGUACAUCUUUCAGACCUCCUCUUUGAUUAAGGUAAACGUUUGCCACAGUGUACAUUUCCAGAAGUGGACACAGAUGGGCACGCCAUUUGGAUUUAGUUAUCGUGGGUUUGGAUUUUGUUUGUUUGUUUGUUUGGAAAAAUCUUUUAGUUCAUUUCAGAUAAGAAAACCAACUUUUCAUGAUUUAGACAUUCUUACUUUGCAUUGACAACCGUUAGGAAAUAAGUCUCAGGUUAGUAGUACCGUAGCUGUUGUGUUUAUAACCCUUUGGCAUAGGUUUUGCUACUGGAUUUCCAUAUGGCUUAAGGUAAAUGCAGCAAAUGUCUCAGGGUCAAAAUUUAAAGUCUAGCUGGGUAAUGAUGGUGCACGCCUCUGAUACCAACAUCAGAGUGGCAGCGGCAGGUGGUGAGUUCAAAGCCACCCUGGUCUACUGAGUGAGUUCCAGGACAGCCAGGGCUGCACAAGGCUACCUUGUCUCUAAAAACCAAAAAAAAAAAAAAAAAGUAUAAUGACUUCAAGUUAAUUUUACUUAACGACUGCCUAUCUUAUCUUAUUUCUCAGAUUUUAACAGGUCUGGACAAUUGAAGGGGCACUAUAGAACAUGUGUUUGCAAGAAUAUAUGCUAAAAAACUAUGUGUUCAUGAACAUAGCCAUUUCAGGAAAUUUAGGUAUGCAGAAUGUUGUGCUGUAAUCAAUUAUGUAAGUAGGUAUGUGUUCAUAGGUCUUCAUUGGAGAUGCUCUCUGUGUGAACUUGCUGUAAAGAGUAAUCCUCUAAAUUGUAUCUCUUUUAUAAACAGCUUUAUUGAAAUGAAAUUCACAUACGCAGUUUACCUAUUUAAAGGGUGUAGUCCAGUGGGUUUUAGUUUGCUCAGAGUUCCAGCCAUCAACACACUUAGACAAGAAAACUGUACAAAACCAUGAGGAAAUCGGUGUGGAAGGAUUUGGGCUAUACAAAGCUUACUAUUGUAAGUAAAGUUGACAUACAGAACUUCUCAGUUGCACUACUACAAGUAAAUAGCAUGUUUCUUGUGUGGAAUAAGUGGGCUUUACUAGACUGUUGUGGAGUAUAACACUGUCAUGGUUGUUAGUCAUUAAGAGUGAUGCACUGUUUACAUUGAUGAUUGCUUUUUCUGCCUGAUUAUCACACUGGGCGUUACUUGAGUCCCAUGAGAGUUCCAUUUUCGGUGUUCAUGUUUGUGUAUUUGUUUUGUUAUUUGAUUUUUGUUUGGUUUGGAUUUUUGUUUGCUUUUGCUUUUCAAGGAGUAGUCUCUUGUCUAACAGCUGUGGCUGUUCUUGAACUUGCUUUGUGGACCAGGCUGGCCUUGAACUCAGAGACAUCCACCUGCCUCUGCUUCCUGAGUGCUGGAAUUAAAGGUCUCUGCCACCACCGCCCAGCAUUUGUGUCUUUCUAAAAUUCUGCUUUCUUUUUAUCUGUUUCUUGCUGCUUUUGAGAUAAAUUCUAAACAUUUUUAUUUUCAGGUGGCAUUGUUUCCCGUGAAGGCUUACUAAAUUUUGUUCUUUUUCGUAUAAACUGAGUUAACAAUGUAGUGAAAAGUCAUCAAAUUUUAGGCUUUAAGGAAUGAAAUGUGGAAUAGAGAAAAGUAGAUGCCAAAUAAAGAUACGAGGUUUGAAUCUGAAAAAAAAAAUAGUGGUAGGGACAGGCAGAAUUAAAAGAGUUUCUUUAAGAUGUUAGAAGCAACAACCUUAUUUAUUUUUAAAAGGUUUAUACGUGCCAGGCGGUGGUGGCGCACGCCUUUAAUCUCAGCACUCGGGAGGCAGAGGCAGGUGGAUCUCUGUGAGUUCGAGACCAGCCUGGUCUACAGAGCUAGUUCCAGGACAGGCUCCAAAACCACAGAGAAACCCUGUCUCGAAAAAAAAACAAAAAAAGGUUUAUACGUAUGGGUGUUUUGCCUUCGUGUAUGUGCUUGGUACCCAUGGAGGUCAGAAGAAGGCGUCAGAUUCCCCUUGGAACUAGAGUUAUAGGUGGUUUUUCGCCACCAUGUGAGUGUUGGGAACUGAAACUGAUCCUCUGCAAAAGUAGCAAGUGCUUUUAACCACCGAACUUUCUCUAUCUCACAACCUAUUCAACCCUGUCUUAGAACCCUCCUAAUCAUUGCACAGUCAUCACUUGCUGAAGAAAUUUGAGGACAUUUAACUUCCACUCUGCUGAGAGACCCAGCCAAGAAGACAAAGGAGAGGCGCUCUGAAAUACUCUUGCAAUAAUUUUCUGUAAUACUCAACAUCUGGCUAUGGGGCCUCAUGGUACUAGCCUCUAAUCCCAGUGCCUUUGAGGUAGAAACAGGGAAACUGACUUGGAGCCCAGCCUGGACUGAAUAGGGAAUUCUGAGUCACCUUGAGUUACAUGGUGAAUCCCUGUCAAACCAUAGAAAAGAUUUUCAUUGAAUUAUUUUUCUUUUCAUAAUUACCAUUUUCAGGUCUUGACUGCUUAUAUAACGUGUGCAUUUGGGGGGUGGGGAGUUGUUUUUCCAAGCAGGGUUUCUCCUGGAACUAGCUCUUGUAUACCUGGCUGACCUCAAACUCAUAGAGAUCUGCCUGCCUCUGCCUCCCAAGUGCUGGGAUUACAGGUGUGCGCCCCCACCACCUGGCAACUUUUGUGCAUUUUUUUUAUGAUAUACAAAAAGCAAGAUGAUGCAAGCAGUGACCGUGAAGCUUAGUAUUGAGUGGUUCCAUCCUAAAGGGUGGUGUUUGCUCUUCAUGAGUGUAUUGUUAAUGUACACCAGCCCCAACUGGGAUCCUUAGAACCACUAUUGGAGAAAGCACUACAUGCGUGGUGAAUGGGACUGUUCUCUGCGCACCUGUCAAUGUCUUAUCAGCAGGAGAAAUCCAUGAUGAUUGGAUUCAUUAGAUUGCUUACGUGGGAAAUGUGUGGUUGUGCAGAUAAGAAAAAUGCAAAAGGAGAAAAGCAACUGACAGGCAGUAUAGGCCUCUGUAGAUUUCUUAAAUCUAUCUCUGACAUUUAUUAAAUUUCACAUUGCCUGAAGUCAUUCCAUUGCUUAGCCUUUUCCUAGAAAUUUAAUUGAAAGGAUAAAUGAAAAUGAAAAAAAAAUACUGUUUGAUAUAAUGAAAAACUUUUAAAAGUAGGAAAGGAAGUUAUUCAUUACAAAGUCCUGACAUGGUAGUCCAUCCAGUAUGUCCAAAUGUAGGUCUAUUUGUCCUCACGAGGUCUGUACCUUCUAGUCUGGGUAUAACUUGGGUUGUUUCUCAGUAAAGACAAUAUGGCUGCAGGUUAAAUUGUGCUUUAAAUAACAUGUUUUGAACUACAGAAAAGUUGCAAAGUCAUCUAGGUUGACUCCCCAAAUCUGAAUUUUAUGUUCAGACUACUAUCUGUUCCUGGCAGUUUUAAGACUGAAUCCACCAAUCUGCUAAUACUUAAUCUGUUGGGAGUGAGGGAGACACAUUAAUAAAUGUGACUUGCUUUGAAUCUGGAAACCUAUGUUCAAUGAGCCACUUGGUACCUCACCACGACCUCUUUCAUUUUUCACAGACCUGAAUCGCUGUGUAGCUCUGGUUGUCCUGGAACUGUCUAUGUAAACUAGGCUGGCCCCAAACUCACAGAGAUCUAUCUUGGCACCAUUUUUUCAGCUAAGCUAAUUAUGGUACCUAAUUCAUACCUGUGCACUGGUGUAGAACAUAUUUCAAAGAACUUAAGUAGAAAUAAGUUCUUUUGACUGGGUGGUGGCACAUGCCUUUAAUCCCAAUGCACAGGAGGCAGCACAGGUGAUAUCUGUGAGUUUUGAGGACAGCCUGGUCUACAGAGUUCCAGAACAGAAUCCAGAGCUACAGAGAAACCCUGUCUCAAAAAAACUUACCCUCUCCCCCCCCAAAAAAUAGUUUUGAUGUUUUGAGACUUGGUCUUUCUGUAACCCUGAUUGUUAUGGAACUUACUGUGUAGAUCAGCCUGGCCUCAAACUCAGAGAUCUUAUCUCUGCUUCCCUAGUGCUAGAGCUAAAGGCAUGUACCACCAAGCCUUGCAUAAAAAUGAGUUCCUAGUGGCUGUCAUAGUUGAGGAAAGUAAAUGACAGGAUUGGCUUAAAAAGCAUUUGACACGUGGGAAACAUUGGAGAUAGUAAAAUAUGUAUGCUCUUUGAGGUCAAACUACAGUUUGUCAAAUCGUCAAAUCAUUUCUACAGCUGUACGUCAUGGUGGUGGGUAAGUAUGCCUAUGAGCACCAUUUGUCAGCAGAAAGCUGGUUUUGUUAUUUGGUGGAAUUUCACCAUAGAAAGACAAAUCUCAGUUCCAUACGGUGUUGGUUUGUUCAUGCUGGGCUUUUAUUUGUACAAAAAUUAUAUGCCUACUUCAUUGAGUUUUCUAGUGAAGAAUAUAGUCCAACCACAUAAGCAAAUGUAGCUUAGAUAUGAAGGGUAUAUAAUUAGGAAAUUUUAAAUUAUGUUUAAUUCUUGUAUUACUAGAACAGGUAUUGAGUAAGAAGCAGCUCUGUAAUAUUAUUGAUACUUAAAAGUAUUAGUUUUUGGUGGACAGGGUUGAACCAUUUGUAAGUUUUUGACUAACAGAGUACAAGGGUGACCUGUGUCCCUCUUAGUCAUGAGAUAGCCUGUUUCAGAGUCAGGGAUCCCUUUUUAAAUCUGCAACAGUCCAUAGCUCUCUUCAAUACAAAAACCUUUUAAAUGCAUAAGGUACAGUUCAUUGAAUUAGGAAGAAAGUAAUCAAAAAUCUUCAAAUGUUAAUCUUUUUUUGUUUUUCGAGACAGGGUUUCUCUGUGGCUUUGGAGCCUGUCUUGGAACUAGCUCUUGUAGACCAGGCUGGUCUUGAACUUUCAGAGAUCCACCUGCCUCUGCCUCCCAAGUGCUGGGAUUAAAGGCGUGUGCCACCAUCGCCCGGCUCAAAUGUUAAUCUUUACAAAGAAAUACGUUUUAUGAGCUCCAAGAUACUUAGCAAUGCUUCAACCAAUAUCCAGCAGACGUAUUUCAGUCCUUAGGCAGUUAUUAUAAGGUAUCACUUUAAUUGGGAUAGUCAUGAUUACUGCUAAUACUGUAAUUUGUUUACAUUUUUUUAUAUAAUAAAAAGUACAAAUAAGGUAUGGUGACUCAUGCCUUUAAUCCCAUCAGUCAGGAGGCAGAGGCAGGAGAAUAUUCUAGAGGCCAGCCUAGUCUAUAAAGUAAGUUCCAGGACAGCCAGGGCUAUUACACAGAGAAAUCCUGUCUUGAAAAAAAAUAGUGCAAAUAAAAAACCAUGCGCUGAAAUUUACCAAACUGUACAUGUGAACUCUAUACACUUAGUAAUUUUUUUUUAAGAAUUUAGUAUGUUUUUAUUUCCUCUCCUACCAGGUUGUAUUCAUAUAUGCAAUACCUAGCAUAUCCAAGGCUGGGGUAGUAGGAGAGACAUGAGCCUGAGCUAUAUAGGCCUUAUCUGAAGUACAUUAUAAGAUCUCAUCCAAUAUAAUUCAAAAUGCUCAUAAAAUUAAUUAAGGGACUGGAGAGAUGACUUAGUAAAGAACAAUGGCUGCUCUUCCAGAGAACCCAGAUUCAGUUCCCUGCACCCACAUGGGGGUUCACUGUGGCUGUAUAUGACAUAAUGUACAAAUACAAUGCACAUAGUAAAAAAAUCUUUUUAAAAAUAUGCAUGAAUUUAAGAAAUCUUUGUUGGAAUAAUCCAUUUGUUUCUUACAGAUUCAGUACAAGUGUCUGGAGAAUGUGAGCUUGGCUGUAUCUAGUGCACCUGAAGAACUUAGUAACACAAGUAAUAGAAGAGCAAUAUUAGAGAAUGUUAAAUCCAAGGAGCAUCAUGGAAACCAUACGUAGGAUUAUUCUGCUCAGUAAGUAAGCACUGGAGUUGUUCCUAAUUUGAGACUGUCUUAGCAUUCUAAGGUUACAUUCUCAACAAAAAUAAAAUAGUGACAUCAUACGUAUUUAGGUAUCUUUUUUAUUAACUUGUUACAGGAAUUAACCAUAGUUUUGAAGUUUAAGCUCAAAUCCAGGCCAUCCAGGUGACUGAGCAGGUAAACCGAACUUGAGUUUGAGCCCCAAAACCCAAAGGGGAGCUCCUGAAAGCUGUCUUCUGACCUUGUGUCUGCCAGCCUGAACUUCCGCACAUACACAUUAUACACUUAACAAUUUUUUUAGAAGUCUACAGAGUUCCAGGACAGGCUCCAAAGCUACACAGAGAAACCCUGUCUCGAAAAACGAAACAAGAACAAGUCUGCCUGGCCAUAGAGAAGGUGAGACUACAGCUGGUUGGUUCAACCUAAGGUCCACUGCAUAGGAACUCCUGCUCAAGAGGAGCAGAAUGAAAGUUACAUUCUUGAGUGUUUCAACUCGGCACAUAUCCCAAAGAGGUGCAGCAACCAUUGUCAACAGACUUGGUGACAAGAGUUCUGUUUAAAGCACACCACCUGUGUGAUUUCAUAAACUUACCAGGCCUUGGGAAAUUUGAGUUCAGAGCUGAUUUGUAGAUCCCAAGAUUGUGUCUCAGAAAGCAAAUCCUUCUGGCUGGGAUUAAAGUGUAAUCAUCCUUCAACUCCAAGGAAAGUAGUUCCAAGUUUUGGAAGUUUGUACUUAAUGCCUCACAAAUCAACAGUUCUUAAUUCUUCCACACAAAUGUUUUCACAUGCUUGUCCAGAAGAAAAUGCAGUUUAGGCAGAAACAUUCUUUAGACAAAGAAAAUAAUAAUGAUAAAGGCAAAGAAUGAUUCCCCACUCUUUGAUCCACAUAGGGAGCCCUAGACCAGUGUCAAAUUGGUGUUUGAAGAAGAUAGAAUAUCAUUCAACAAGAAAAUUGAGCAACUGACAGUAAAAAGACUGAUAGUACUUACUGUAAGUGAUCCUUAGUAACAAGCACUGAUUGCUAUGAUGCCCGGUGCCGGGGUGGGUGGGCACAUUAUAAUACAUACAUGGACACUUCCUUUCUGACCUCAAAGAUAUUGAAUGCUGCAUUGUUACUGAUCCUAAUUACAUAUGAUAAAAGACUUAUAUUUCCCUUUCAGAACAUAUGGUACUGAAAAUACAAAAGAUAUGUCACAUUUUCAGAAUAACUUCUGGAGCAAAAGUCUUAAAUUGUAGCCCAGGUUAGCCUCAAACUUGGCCAUCCAUCUGCAUUUGCUAGUACUUUUUUAAAAAAUAGUUUACUUUUUAUGUAUAUGGAGGAUGCCAGAAUUCUCCCAGGAAUUUAAGGUACUUGAAGUACCCAAAAUUUAAGGUACUAUGAGACCCAAACUCCAGCCCACUGCUAGAACUGCAUUCACUCUUACCCAGUGGACCAUCUUGCCAGCUUGAGAUCCUACUUUUUAUUUUUUACUUUUAGUUCAUUCCAUCUAUAUGGUACUACCUUUUUUUCCUUCUUGAGCCCACUUCCACGCAGUCUUUAUGACAGAUCUCAAUUUGCCCAGAUUAUUUAGAAUCUUGUUUCAGCCUUGCAGGAGAUGGAAUUACAGGCUGCCAUACCAUUUUAAAAAUACUUAGGUGGCAGUACCUGGGAGGAAGAUGCGGUGGCUCUCUAAAUUCAAGGCCAGCUUCAUCUACACGGAGAGUCCCAAAACAGCCAGAGCUGCAUAACCUUAAAACAAUUUUUUAAAAAUCUAGGAACAAAGCCAGGCAGCGGUGGUGCACACCUUUAAUCCCAGCACUUAGGAGGCAGAAGCAGGCAGAUCUCUGAGUUCGAAACCAGUCUGGUCAACAAGAGCUAGUUCCAGGACAGGCUCCAAAGAUACAGAGAAACCCUGUCUCAAAAAAAAAAACACUUGGCCAGGAAAUUGUAGUCUGCUAAUUGGAAACUAAUAGAGGUAGAAAGAUUACUUUGAAGAUGUAUAAAGCCCUCUACAAAAACUGAUUGCAAUAGCAAAGCAGUUUUGCUUUCUAGCCCCUUUUUCUUUCGCUAUAGCAUGACUUGUUCACACACUAGCAAGCUGCAUGUAGCAGACAGAUAGUGUUGAAACACGAAUAAGCCCUGCGAGGCAAGUACAGAGUUGUGUAGUUGUUUAAUGCACAUGUUAAAUUACAGAACUGAUAGGUUGCUUAAUUUUUUUAAUUUUUGGCUUAUCACAUUUUACAAUUUGUGAGAUUUUUGUGCGAGAGCUUUUUGAGACCAGGAAAUGUUAUAUAUUUCUGUCUUUUGGGCGGGAUGGGAGACUCAAUCCCUGAUUCCCAGUGUGACAGAACUAGCUUACAACAAGGACAAGUAGGAUUAGGAGGUUGAGAUACAGGCAUUAGCAUUAUUGAGAUCAGUUAAGAGCAUGUGCUCUUGCAGAGAUCCCAGUGCCUAUAUCCAAUGUCUCAUAACUGCCUGUAAUUACAGUUCCAGAAGACCUGACACCCUCUUGCUUCCAUGAGCCUCUGCAUGCAUGUAAUACACACGUACUCAGGUGUAAACAAAACUAAAUAUGUGUUAUGUUUGUCAUCUACUGAGUACCAUGACUCUAAAAAUACAGUAACAAGUAUAUCUUAUAAAGAUAGGCCUGCAAAAUAUCUCUAGAAAGAGUAAAUGGAAAGGAGUUCUGCUCUCAAUUGGUAUUUAUGUUUUUAAAGCUGAAUGCCUGUGUUCCCGGUCCCCACAGAGGUCAAAAAAGGUUGGUAGAUUCCCUGGAACUGGAGUUCUGGAUGGUUGUAAGCACCCAAAUGAGUGCUGGGAAAUGAAACCGAGGAGUAGCAUGUCCUCUUAACCUAUCCCCCAAUAUCAAUUUUGUUUUCUUUGAGACGGUUUCUUUGUCCUAGCUGUCCUGGAACUCUGUUUUUAGACUAGUCUGUCCUUGAACUCACAGAGAUCUACCUGCUUCUGCCUCCUGAGUUCUGGGAUUAAGGACGUGUACCACCACCGCUUGGCUAAUUUUAAUUUUGUUUUUAUGGCAGGGUUUCUCUGUAGCUUUGGAGUCAGCCCUGGAACUAACUCUUAUAGGCCAGUCUGGCUUUGAACUCAUAAGAGAUCUGCCUGCCUCUGCCUCCUGAAUGCUGGGGUUAAAGCAUGCAUCACCACUGCCCAGCUCCAGCCUUAAAAUUUUUUAAUGAGGGCUGGGGGGAUAGUGUAAUGAUACCAUGCAUAUGUGCAAGGCUCUGGGUUUGAUCUUCAAAAUGUUACAUCCAUUGGCUGGCCUUUAACUCAGAUCUACCUGCUUUAGUUUCUUGCAUACUGGAAUUAAAGCAUAUGCCACCCAGUCUAAUAAGGUUUUCCAUUAUAGCCCAGCAAUAUGAAAGAAUAGAAGUAUCUGCAGUCCUUAAUUCUACCAUUAAUGUUCAACUAAUUGUGUAAGUAGAGGGUUCUAUGAUCAAAUUCCACAUAACCUUUCCCUCUGCCCUCUUGUCUACUUACAUUUGGGAACUUGGGGCUGUAGCUGGUAGUUGGUAGUGUUUGCCUCAUAUGCACAAAGCCCUGCAUUUUGUCUAACCACUGCAAUAAAUCAUACCUGUAACUCUAACAGGACAUAAAGACAGGCAAAUCGCCUGUCUCUUUCCCUUCUCCCCACUUCCUCCACCUCUGUUUCUCUCUCUAUGCUCUUCCCCCUUCUCCCCUUUCCCCUUCCCUUCCAUAACCCACUAAAUACCCACUUUUCUGCCAAAAAAAAAAAAGCAAAUCAGAAGUUCAAAGUCUUCCUCACCUACUUAUUGAAUUCAGAAGCCAGCCUGAAAUCCUGUUGUUCUUGUUGCUGCUUUAAAAAAAAAAAAAAAAAAGGCAGGGGCUGGAGAGAUGGCUCAGAGGUGAAGAGCAUUGCCUGCUCUUCCAAAGGUCCUGAGUUCAAUUCCCAGCAACGACAUGGUGGCUCACAACCAUCUGUAAUGGGGUCUGGUGUCUUCUGGCCCGCAGACAUACACACAGACAACACUGUAUACAUAAUAAAUAUUUUAAAAAAACUGCAGUGGAAUGCAUCUGGAAACUAAACCAUUUUACAUUCCCUUCAGAGCUCAAUAUGUUUUUUGUGCCAAGUGGUUGUGGCACACGCCUUUAAUCCCAGCACUCAGGAGGCAGAGGCCAGCAGAUCUCUGGGAGUUCGAGGUCAGCCAGGUCCGCAAGAGCUAGUUCCAGGACAGGCUCCAGAGCCACAGAGAAUCCCUGUCUCAAAAAAAAAAAAAAAGUUUUUUCAGGAAAUAUUCUUUGGG